UACGUAGGGAGCAAGCGUUGUCCGGAAUCAUUGGGCGUAAAGCGCGCGUAGGCGGCCCGAUAAGUCCGCUGUAAAAGUCAACGGGCUCAACUGUUGAAAGCCGGUGGAUACUGUCGGGCUAGAGUACGGAAGAGGCAAGUGGAAUUCCGGUGUAGGCGGUGAAAUGCGCAGAUAGCAGGAGGAACACCUAUUGCGAAGGCAGCUCGCUGGGACGUUACUGACGCGUGAGACGCGAAAGCGUGGGGAGCAAACAGG
rnacentral:rRNA from 1 species